GACGAACCGAGCGAACGUUGUUCGGAAUCACUGGGCUUAAAGGGUGCGUAGGCGGGCUGCCAAGUUUGGGGUGAAAUCCUCCGGCUCAACCGGGGAAGUGCCUCGAAUACUGGCGGUCUGGAGGGAGGUAGGGGCGUGCGGAACUAACGGUGGAGCGGUGAAAUGCGUUGAUAUCGUUAGGAACUCCGGUGGCGAAGGCGGCACGCUGGACCUUUUCUGACGCUGAGGCGCGAAAGCCAGGGGAGCGAACGGG
rnacentral:rRNA from 1 species